GUGGGGAAUAUUGGACAAUGGGCGAAAGCCUGAUCCAGCCAUGCCGCGUGUGUGAAGAAGGUCUUCGGAUUGUAAAGCACUUUAAGUUGGGAGGAAGGGCAGUAAGUUAAUACCUUGCUGUUUUGACGUUACCGACAGAAUAAGCACCGGCUAACUUCGUGCCAGCAGCCGCGGUAAUACGAAGGGUGCAAGCGUUAAUCGGAAUUACUGGGCGUAAAGCGCGCGUAGGUGGUUCAGCAAAUUGGAGGUGAAAUCCCCGGGCUCAACCUGGGAACUGCCUCCAAAACUACUGGGCUAGAGUACGGUAGAGGGUAGUGGAAUUUCCUGUGUAGCGGUGAAAUGCGUAGAUAUAGGAAGGAACACCAGUGGCGAAGGCGACUACCUGGACUGAUACUGACACUGAGGUGCGAAAGCGUGGGGAGCAAACAGGAUUAGAUACCCCAGUAGUCC
rnacentral:rRNA from 1 species